rnacentral:rRNA from 1 species
UACGGAGGAUGCGAGCGUUAUCCGGAUUUAUUGGGUUUAAAGGGUGCGUAGGCGGUCCGUUAAGUCAGCGGUAAAAUUGCGGGGCUCAACCCCGUCGAGCCGUUGAAACUGGCAGACUUGAGUUGGCGAGAAGUACGCGGAAUGCGCGGUGUAGCGGUGAAAUGCAUAGAUAUCGCGCAGAACUCCGAUUGCGAAGGCAGCGUACCGGCGCCAGACUGACGCUGAGGCACGAAAGCGUGGGGAUCGAGCAGG